GAUGAACGCUAGCUACAGGCUUAACACAUGCAAGUCGAGGGGUAACGAGAGGGAAGCUUGCUUUCCUUGUCGACGACCGGCGCACGGGUGAGUAACGCGUAUCCAACCUGCCCCCAACUAGGGAAUAACCUUGCGAAAGUAAGACUAAUACCCUAUAAUUUCCUGAGAUGUCAUCUGACGAGGAAUAAAGAUUUAUCGGUUGUGGAUGGGGAUGCGUCUGAUUAGCUUGUUGGCGGGGUAACGGCCCAACAAGGCAACGAUCAGUAGGGGUUCUGAGAGGAAGGUCCCCCACAUUGGAACUGAGACACGGUCCAAACUCCUACGGGAGGCAGCAGUGAGGAAUAUUGGUCAAUGGGCGGAAGCCUGAACCAGCCAAGUAGCGUGCAGGAUGACGGCCCUAUGGGUUGUAAACUGCUUUUAUACAGGAAUAAAGUUAGCCACGUGUGGUUAUUUGUAGGUACUGUAUGAAUAAGGACCGGCUAAUUCCGUGCCAGCCGCCGCGGUAA
rnacentral:rRNA from 1 species